rnacentral:rRNA from 1 species
UCUAGUGGUAAUGGCAAAGAGGUCACACCCGUUCCCAUACCGAACACGGAAGUUAAGUUCUUUUGCGCCGAUGGUAGUUGGGGGUCUCCCCCUGUGAGAGUAGGACGUCGCUAGGC